rnacentral:tmRNA from 1 species
GGGGUUGACAUGGAUUUGACAGCAUGAUGGAGUGGUACGUAAGCAUGCAGAGCGUUGAUGGCCGUCUCUUUAAUCCAGGCUCUCGCAGAAUUUAUCUGGCAACAACACUUAUGCUCUCGCAGCUUAAUCGAAGUAUAGUAGAUUAACUUUAUUCCCUUGCCAGGCGAGGGAACGAGACAUCGCCCUGAAAGCUAUUCGUCCCGAAGCGUUCAGUUCAGCGGUGCAGGAAAAUCGGGAAUAGUCUGCUGUGGCUCCGCACAGUUGAUGAAAUUUUAGGAGAUAAGGCGUUAGUGGGUGGUUCAGGUCUUGCUGAUGCACGAAAACCGAAGUCUGAAAUAAGCAUGUAGAAAGCGUAUGGCUUCCAUGUUUGGACGAGGGUUCAAUUCCCUCCAGCUCCAC